GAUGAGUCCUGAGUAACUGGCCGGGUCGUGCCUCCGGUGCUGUUACUUUGAAGAAAUAGAGUGCUCAAAGCAAGCUUACGCUUCUGGAUACAUAGCA
rnacentral:rRNA from 1 species